rnacentral:rRNA from 1 species
UCGGGCUUGGCGGGUGCUAUACAUGCAGUCGAACGAGUUCUCGUUGAUGAUCGGUGCUUGCACCGAGAUUCAACAUGGAACGAGUGGCGGACGGGUGAGUAACACGUGGGUAACCUGCCCUUAAGUGGGGGAUAACAUUUGGAAACAGAUGCUAAUACCGCAUAGAUCCAAGAACCGCAUGGUUCUUGGCUGAAAGAUGGCGUAAGCUAUCGCUUUUGGAUGGACCCGCGGCGUAUUAGCUAGUUGGUGAGGUAAUGGCUCACCAAGGCGAUGAUACGUAGCCGAACUGAGAGGUUGAUCGGCCACAUUGGGACUGAGACACGGCCCAAACUCCUACGGGAGGCAGCAGUAGGGAAUCUUCCACAAUGGACGCAAGUCUGAUGGAGCAACGCCGCGUGAGUGAAGAAGGCUUUCGGGUCGUAAAACUCUGUUGUUGGAGAAGAAUGGUCGGCAGAGUAACUGUUGUCGGCGUGACGGUAUCCAACCAGAAAGCCACGGCUAACUACGUGCCAGCAGCCGCGGUAAUACGUAGGUGGCAAGCGUUAUCCGGAUUUAUUGGGCGUAAAGCGAGCGCAGGCGGUUUUUUAAGUCUGAUGUGAAAGCCCUCGGCUUAACCGAGGAAGCGCAUCGGAAACUGGGAAACUUGAGUGCAGAAGAGGACAGUGGAACUCCAUGUGUAGCGGUGAAAUGCGUAGAUAUAUGGAAGAACACCAGUGGCGAAGGCGGCUGUCUGGUCUGUAACUGACGCUGAGGCUCGAAAGCAUGGGUAGCGAACAGGAUUAGAUACCCUGGUAGUCCAUGCCGUAAACGAUGAAUGCUAGGUGUUGGAGGGUUUCCGCCCUUCAGUGCCGCAGCUAACGCAUUAAGCAUUCCGCCUGGGGAGUACGACCGCAAGGUUGAAACUCAAAGGAAUUGACGGGGGCCCGCACAAGCGGUGGAGCAUGUGGUUUAAUUCGAAGCAACGCGGAGACCCUUACCAGUCUUGACAUCUUUUGAUCACUGAGAGAUCAGUUUCCUCUUUCGGGCAAAUGACAGUGUGCAUGCUGUCGUCAGCUCGUGUCGUGAGAUGUGGGUAGUCCCGCACGAGCGCAACCCUUAUGACUAGGUGCAGCAAUUAGUGGCACUCUAGUUAGACUGCCCGGUGACAACCGAGAAGUUG